AUGUGGGAUGCAUUACGGAAACUCAAAGUAGUCCCAAAAGUCAGGGUGUUCUGGUGGCGGGUGUUGAGGGGUAUCAUUCCUGAUGAAUGCACCCUAAGAUAUCGCCACAUAAGAGAAACAAGCACGUGCAAGAUUUGCUUGGCCAUGGACGAGGAUUUGGAACACGCGUUGCUGCAGUGUACGCAUGCGCGCCGGUUCUGGGAGGAGGCCAGACUUGUCUUUGAAGUUCACCUGCCACGUCUCCAUCCUCAUACUUGGACAAAGGAUAUCCUUUGUGAACCCCGGUUCUCUGAUAAAGAUCGGGCAAUUUUCGUCACGGUGAUGUGGGCAAUAUGGAUGUCUCGCAAUCGACUGACGCAUGACAGAGAAGGGUGGGAUCCAGCUUCUUCAGUAAGGAAAAUAAGAGAGGAUCUAGCCAUUCUGGAUAUACCCGUGCGGCUCGCUUCACCACUGCCGGGGUAUGGUUGGCAACCCCCUGAGGACCCAUACAUAAAGAUCAACACAGAUGCCGCUGUUCAUCUCGACGAUGGCAAUGCAGGGCUAGGGGGUGUUGCACGCUCCUCAUCGGGCUUCAAGGGUGCAUGGUGUAAGCCGUCUUCAGGUGUCACGGACCCCCUCAGUGCGGAGGCUUUGGCGCUUAAGGAAGGAGUGAGAUUCGCAACACUACGAGGCUACACACAUGUCAUCAUGGAGACCGACUGUCUAGAGGCAGUUAACCUCUGGAACUCUCGCUACAUUGACCGGUCAGUGAUAGCACCUAUCUUCUCUGAAAUUGGAGAGCUAGCUCUUAGUUUUAUUUCUUUCAAUAUUCAACAUGUAAUAAAAUCAGCAAAUAGUCCUGCACAUCUGUGUGCUAAGCGUGGUACUACGCUUAAUGUGACUGAGAGCUGGUUAGAUACUACCCCUAGCUUCCUGAUCAACAACCUUCUGGCUGACUGCUCAGCGAAUGCCUUUGUUGAAUAA
rnacentral:rRNA from 1 species